rnacentral:rRNA from 1 species
AACGAACGCUGGCGGCGCGCCUAAUACAUGCAAGUCGAGCGAGAAGACGUAGCAAUACGUUUGUAAAGCGGCGAACGGGUGAGGAAUACAUGGGUAACCUACCCUCGAGUGGGGAAUAACUAGCCGAAAGGUUAGCUAAUACCGCGUACGCUCCUUGGACUUCGGUUCAGGGAGGAAAGCGAUACCGUGGGUAUCGCGCUCUUGGAUGGGCUCAUGUCCUAUCAGCUUGUUGGUGAGGAACGGCUCACCAAGGCUUCGACGGGUAGCUGGUCUGAGAGGACGAUCAGCCACACUGGCACUGCGACACGGGCCAGACUCCUACGGGAGGCAGCAGUAAGGAAUAUUGCGCAAUGGGCGAAAGCCUGACGCAGCGACGCCGCGUGGGGGAUGAAGGUCUUCGGAUUGUAAACCCCUUUCGGGAGGGAAGAUGGAACGAGCAAUCGUUCGGACGGUACCUCCAGAAGCAGCCACGGCUAACUUCGUGCCAGCAGCCGCUGUAAC